AGAGUUUGAUCCUGGCUCAGGACGAACGCUGGCGGCGUGCUUAACACAUGCAAGUGGAGCGACGAACCAGGGCUUGCCCUGGGGCAGAGCCGCGAACGGGUGAGUAACACGUGGGUUACCUGCCUCGAUGACCGGGACAACCCGAGGAAACUCGGGCUAAUACCGGAUGUGCCCGCAAGGGGAAAGGAAGCUUCGGCCUCCGCAUUGAGAUGGGCCCGCGGCCCAUUAGCUUGUUGGUGGGGUAACGGCCUACCAAGGCAACGAUGGGUAGCUGGUCUGAGAGGACGAUCAGCCACACUGGGACUGAGACACGGCCCAGACUCCUACGGGAGGCAGCAGUGGGGAAUCUUGCGCAAUGCGCGAAAGCGUGACGCAGCAACGCCGCGUGGGGGAAGAAGGCUUUCGGGUUGUAAA
rnacentral:rRNA from 1 species